GACAGAGGUGCCGAGCGUUAGGCGGAAUCACUGGGCUUAAAGCGUGUGUAGGCGGAUCGUUAAGUACCUUGUGAAAUCCCCCGGCUCAACCGGGGAACUGCUGGGUAUACUGGCGAUCUUGAGCAAUCUAGGGGCAGAUGGAACAAGUGGUGGAGCGGUGAAAUGCGUAGAUAUCACUUGGAACGCCAAAGGUGAAAACAGUCUGCUGGGGAUUUGCUGACGCUGAGACACGAAAGCCAGGGGAGCGAACUGG
rnacentral:rRNA from 1 species